rnacentral:rRNA from 1 species
AACGAACGCUGGCGGCAGGCUUAACACAUGCAAGUCGAACGCCCCGCAAGGGGAGUGGCAGACGGGUGAGUAACGCGUGGGAAUCUACCCAGAUCUUCGGAACAACUGAGGGAAACUUCAGCUAAUACCGGAUACGCCCUACGGGGGAAAGAUUUACCGGUUCUGGAUGAGCCCGCGUUGGAUUAGCUAGUUGGGGAGGUAAAGGCUCACCAAGGCGACGAUCCAUAGCUGGUCUGAGAGGAUGAUCAGCCACACUGGGACUGAGACACGGCCCAGACUCCUACGGGAGGCAGCAGUGGGGAAUAUUGGACAAUGGGCGAAAGCCUGAUCCAGCCAUGCCGCGUGAGUGAUGAAGGCCUUAGGGUUGUAAAGCUCUUUCAGUGGGGAAGAUAAUGACGGUACCCACAGAAGAAGCCCCGGCUAACUUCGUGCCAGCCGCCGCCGUAA